rnacentral:lncRNA from 1 species
UGGCGUCAACCAUCUGAUCAAUCCUCGAUAGAGGAUAGCUAUCAUUUAGACAAGCCUUGUUAAAGUUGGUGAAGUCAAUGCAGAUCCACCAUUUGCCAUUCACCUACUUCACUAUGACCACAUUAGAUAUCCACUCCGAGUAGGUUAUCUCCUUAAUAAAUCUGCUUGGAGCAGCUUGUCGACCUCCUUGGCUAUUGCC